ensembl:snRNA U6 U6 spliceosomal RNA
GCGCUCGCUUCGGCAGCACAUACUCGAAAAUUGGAGCGACACAGAGAGGAUUAGCAUGGCCCCUGCACAAGGAUGACACGCAAACUCGUGAAGCAUUCCAUAUUAUA